UUUAUUGACUCUCGGCACAGUGGUGGUGCUGUGUUUACUUUUUUUGUUCCUGCGCAAGAUUAUCUUGUUUGUUAACUCAAAAGCCUUAAUUGACAAUAUUGUGUGAUUAUAUACAGUUGCUGGUGGCUCAAUUUUUUGUGGUGGGAAAAUACAUAUUAUUUGCGUUGUGACGACCAACGACACAGUGUCUGGCAAGUUUGGAAUUGCCUCCCUUGGAAAAUGCUACCAGUGGAUGUCUAAGCAGGUGAGGGAAAUGCAAUUUAUUUGUCAGGGAUUAUGCAGGACUUCAAAAUCUCCAAUUUGAUGGCUAAUGGAUAUAACCUGUGAUGGUUUAGAAGGUCCUAAUUGCUUCUAAUGGGCUUGUGGUGUUGUCGGAGUUCUCAGCUUGUGAGGUUCACACACAAAUGAGGGACAUACGCAUACAACAUGGCAAGUCUAGUCAAAAGAGGGAUUAAAAAGAAACCAGAGAGAGAUGUGAAAGAGUUCUUUGUGGACGAUAGGGAGAUAGAAGGAAAAGCUCAUCUGUCAGUGCCAUUGACUAAAAACUUACAUUGAAAUCAACUUGAUUGGGUGGCAUUCGAACAGGCCCUGGGCCCCUUGGCCCACCCGGGUAUCUUGGAGACAUGAAAGCCUGAAAGGAAAAGAAAUAGACAAUGCAGACGGCUAUUAAAAUCUUGCAGCAUAUGUGACUCUGGUGCAAGCCAAAGAUGAAAUUUUGCCAUCUGUAUGUUAGAGGAACACAAAACUGGCAAAUCCAUUAGCUGGAUCUGGAAGUGUCCAAUUUUCCAGCUGCACGAAUGUUGUCCUUCAGAGGUCAGAGGUCGGAUCUGUUUCCAUGACAACCAUGUUGCCCUAACCAAUGAUAGGAGACACAACUGCUGGAAACGAUUUGGCUUCAAUUUUGAUUAAAAGGCUUGGAACAGAGAAGCCCCAGCGUGCCAAAGGAUUAAUUAUGUUCUGCUUAGCUGACAAGGCUGACAUGAAUAUUUCAGCAAUUAUCCACAAAACUGAUCACAGAAGACAAAAGCCAUUGAAGAGACAACCACGCAUAGAGGACAUAUUUGGAGAUGGGAAAACAACUCCUUUCUGUAUUUUGGGGUGGGAAAGAGAGAGAGACACACAGAUCAGACUAACUUCAACUGAUCCCAAUUCAGACCAGUGAGUGGCUCAUCAACUUUAUUGGCAUGAAGGAGGCUCUGUUCCUAUUCAUCAGGACAACAGUGCUGGCCCCCUCAUCAAAUUCAUCAUGAAAUUUAAUGAAAAGUGCAUUCCUUUGAGACAGCUAGCAGUGUGAUCUCUCUACUUUUUGGAUUAUGCGAACAAGAAAUCAACUUCCUAAUCAUGCACCCUUUUCAAAGCCUGGGUUUUAUCUCUGAAGGCAGUUGGGGGAACACCUUGUCUUCUGAAUUCAAUUCUAGGAAUAUAUAUGUGCAAUAUGUCCUGCUACUUUUGGGGGGAUUUUGUGAUUAUGCAAUGGAAAUCUAGCAUGAAAUUCAAUGAGGAAUUUAAUUCAAGCCAGUACAAAGACUGAUAAUUUCAACAGCACUUCAUCACUGAGGCUAAAAAGAGGUAACAAAAUUUGCCUUGGGACUUCAUAUCAAAGAAAAUCUGGGUCAGAUCAAAGAACCUGGAAAAAACCCUGGUGGCAUUGGCCCCCCAGACAUUCCAUCCUGAGGAUUCAUUUGACCUAAUGGACUAGGUGCUGCUGCAUUCUACAAAGACAAACAAAAAAUAUUCAAUAUUUCAGAAUAACAAUAUUUAAUACUUUUUAUUUUAUAUUUCAAAGUCAUAUGUAGUUCUUUUAGUGCAUUUCACUAUAUCUUAGAUUGUGUGGGUGUGAGAUAUAAAACAAUGAAUUUCAAAUGUUCCAGUGAUCCUUCAAUGGUACACAGUAAGGCAGUCUUAUAAUGCAAUCACUUUGUGAUUUAUCAUUAUCAACCUUUUUACAUAAAUAUAUUUUUUAACCAUUAAGACAACAGAAAACUUCCUACAGGUAAUGACUGGUGCUAUAUUCUUAUACAAUGACUCAAGUACAAACAAUAAAAUAUUUCUAU
rnacentral:sRNA from 1 species